UACAGAGGGUGCGAGCGUUAAUCGGAAUGACUGGGCGGAAAGCGCGCGUAGGCGGUUAUACAAGUUGGGUGUGAAAUCCCUCGGCUUAACCUAGGAAUUGCAUUCAAAACUAUAUAGCUUGAGUGGGGUAGAGGUGAGUGGAAUUUCCGGAGUAGCGGUGAAAUGCGUAGAUACCGGAAGGAACACCAGUGGCGAAGGCGACUCACUGGACCUUAACUGACGCUGAGGUGCGAAAGCGUGGGGAGCAAACAGG
rnacentral:rRNA from 1 species